UAUUGUGAUCAGUAUCAAGUAUAAAAGUAUCUUUGCAAUAGCAGUGAAGUACAUGUAGUGGCUAAGACCCCAGGUUUUAGAGAGAGACAGUCCUGGGUUCAAAUCACACCUUUCUGCUUCUUAUUGCCAUUGCACCUCAGGAAAUGAUUUAACCUCAGUGGGCCUGUGGUUCCCUCAAUGGUAAUAUAGGGACAGUGAAACCCACCUUACUAGGUCAAAUGAUUAUGAAGAUUAAAGUAAACAACACAUUCAAAAUGCCUCGGACAGAGCAUGGUGCUUGGACUUUGGGGUGUAACUAUCAUCCGUGAUGGGGGCAAGAGCAGUGCUUGUGUCCAUGGCACCGAUUGUAUGAGGUCAUCGUAUGCCAUGAUUCUGAGCCUGGCUCCACAGCAUAAAGGGCAGUCAGGACUGCUGGCUCUGGCUGCAGAAGUGCCCAGAGUGGUUCAGGCUGAAUCCUGCUCUAAGGUUCUUUUAUGGAAGAAGGAACACUAAAAAAAUUUUCUUAACCUUCACACCAAAGGAAUUCUCUCUCAAAAAAGAAGUAUAAGGAGAAAGAAAUCAGAAGACAACAAGCUGUUCUUCUGAAGCAUCAGGAGGUGGAGAGGCAUAGACUAGAUAUGGAUGAUCCUUGCCGACAUGGUAACUUGCCUCAGUGAAGAGUUGAGAAAAGGAAAAAUGGAGAAAAACAUUUGUGACUUGUCCAAACUACCAACUUUUGGUUCCGUUAAGACACCGAAACAAGAGGAGGCUGAUACCUACCUUAAUGAAAUGGAAACUCAUCUAAGCAAAGACCAGAGAAAAAGAAAAAUAGAGGAAAACACUUCUGGUAACUCGUCAGAACCAAGUUUUACUUGUGUUAAGAAAGCGAAACGAGAUGACUUUAAGGACCUGUGCAGGUAUCCAAACCUGGAAGCCUUUGCUGUCGAUGUCAGGCUUGUUUUUGACAACUGUGAAGCAUUUAAUCAAGAUGAUUCUGAUACAGGCAGAGCUGGUCACAGUAUGAGGAAGUAUUUUGAGAAAAAGUGGACAGAUACUCCCAAAGUGAGCCGAAGCUACAAUAAUCUCUUUUCUCCUUUUCAAUAAGGACGAAUAAGACCAGCAAUGUCAACUGUAUUUUACAUAAAUGUGCAAGGCACACGCAUAAUGACUUUUUUUCUUAGUAAAAGUAUCACACACGAAAACAAUAUCAGAAGAAUGAAACCAUUUUUAAAGGCUUCACUCCUGCAACAACCAAGGCCCUUGGUUAUUGGUUUGUGUGAUUUAUCAGCUAAUUUAGGUAGAACAGGGAAGCACACCCAAAGAAUUUUCUUUCAAAGGUAAGGGUGUUACAGAGUAAUAGCAAUUAAAAUAUAUCAAAUCACACUGAAUAUUCAACACCAGAGCUCUAAUGUGGGAGAUGGUUCUCCUUUCCCUCUCAAUAAAUAUCUACUUUUCCUUUUUUUAUUG